GACGAACGCUGGCGGCGUGCUUAACACAUGCAAGUCGAACGGAAAGGCCCUGCUUUUGUGGGGUGCUCGAGUGGCGAACGGGUGAGUAACACGUGAGUAACCUGCCCUUGACUUUGGGAUAACUUCAGGAAACUGGGGCUAAUACCGGAUAGGAGCUCCUGCUGCAUGGUGGGGGUUGGAAAGUUUCGGCGGUUGGGGAUGGACUCGCGGCUUAUCAGCUUGUUGGUGGGGUAGUGGCCUACCAAGGCUUUGACGGGUAGCCGGCCUGAGAGGGUGACCGGCCACAUUGGGACUGAGACACGGCCCAGACUCCUACGGGAGGCAGCAGUGGGGAAUAUUGCACAAUGGGCGGAAGCCUGAUGCAGCAACGCCGCGUGCGGGAUGACGGCCUUCGGGUUGUAAACCGCUUUCGCCUGUGACGAAGCGUGAGUGACGGUAAUGGGUAAAGAAGCACCGGCUAACUACGUG
rnacentral:rRNA from 1 species